rnacentral:rRNA from 1 species
ACGUAGGGUGCGAGCGUUAAUCGGAAUUACUGGGCGUAAAGCGUGCGCAGGCGGUUUUGUAAGUCAGAUGUGAAAUCCCCGGGCUUAACCUGGGAACUGCGUUUGAAACUACAAGGCUAGAGUGUGGCAGAGGGGGGUGGAAUUCCACGUGUAGCAGUGAAAUGCGUAGAGAUGUGGAGGAACACCGAUGGCGAAGGCAGCCCCCUGGGUUAACACUGACGCUCAGGCACGAAAGCGUGGGGAGCAAACAG